CCUCCUAGGUUGUUUAUCAUGAAAAAAUAUGACUUUUGUUCUUCUGAGUUGAUACCUAGUUAUGGAAUUGCAGGUUCAAAUGGAAGG
rnacentral:snoRNA from 1 species